AACGAACAAACACCCAGCGGCAGGAGCGGGGGACCCAGGUAAGUCGCCGGGCCCGGACACCACGUCCGGACCGGCUUGGGGUGAAGUCGUGCCGCAUCCGUGCGGGACGGCCGGGCAGCUUCGGCCCGAACCCGACAGCUCACCUCGUAGGCGACGGAGAGGAACGCU
rnacentral:sRNA from 1 species